CGCUGAGUUACUCCAGCUUUUUGUGUCUAUCUUCAGUUUAAACCUGCAUCUGCAGUUCCUUCCCACACAAACCUUUCUUGAUGACGGACAUUGAUUAGAUGCAAGUCCCAAGAAGACAAUAAUUUAAGAUCAGCAGGUGCUGGGAAUCUGAAAUAAAAGCAAAAAAUGCUGGAAAAACUCAGCAAACCAGGCAUCUGUGGAAAGAGAAAUAGCUAAUGUUUCAACCUAAAACGUUAACUGUUUCUUUAUCGAAGCAUGUUGACCUGCUGAGGUUUUCAGCAUUUUCUGUUUAUAUCCUCUAUAUUUGUGAGGUGGGGCUUGCAAAGUUGACUUGGUGGUGCAUCUGGCUUCAUUCUCUCUCUGCUUCAAUUAUUCUACUCUGUGACUUGCCAUGGAAGAAUAAAUUAGAAUUAAGAGUCGACAAGACCAGACUGGGUAAGAAUGGAGAUACCUUUCCCACACCCCUCCUCCACCUCCAUCAAGAUGGGCAUUAAUGAACCAAACCAAAUGAAUGGAUUUUUUUAAAUGACCUGAUUUUAAUUUACCUGGCUGCCAUGGUAGGGUUUGAACAGCCUUCAUACUGUUUGUCCGAUUUGUAUGGAUCACUAUUCUUGUAACACUGUGCCCUGAUAUCAAAAUCCAUGAAAACAAAGCAGUUUGACAGGUUAUUAUGAUAUUUCUGCUUGUGGCAGCUUCAUAACCACAAAUUUGCUACCACAUUUCCUAUAGCACAGCAGUUGUUAUACUUAAAAGUACUUCAUUGGUAGUAAAGUGUUUUGGACAACCAGAGGUUAUAAAGGGUGCUAUAUAAACGAAAGGCUUUUUUUAAAUAAAUUAUGUCCUGGGCUUCUUAUCACUAGGACCUCACUCAUUUUAAUUGAGUGAAUCACUGUUUCUCAGGCAAUUCAUUGAGGCUGUAAAUAAGAUAGCUAGUGUAUUACCGCAUCUUUUUAACAUUGUCUCCUCCUGCCCAAUGCUAUGGGAGCGUUGGUGGUACUUAUAUCAAGUUGCAUACCAGAUCAUCCACUCUGUGUUUUUCAAGAUGACUCAAAAUUGAAACAGGUUCUCCUGCCAAGAAACUUUCCUGGGACAAUUUCAAAUAAUUGAUUUGCAUUCAGAGGAUUUUUUUUUUCCUCUAACAAUUUUUACACUUUUGCAAUCAGACUGUUAAGCGACACUCCAGUUUAAUUCCUGAAUAAAUUAUUUCCUUUGACUUCCAGUGAUGAACACAGCCUACAGGCGUCAUUGCAUGUGGCUGUAUAUUUACGGUAAUUUUUUUCUCGUUUUGAUUUACCCUGUUGUGAGGGCCUUAAGAAUUCCAAAAUCUUUGCACACCUAUUAAUUCUGAAAGUGUAAUAAUGAUCCAAGUUUUUGUGCCUGCAAUGUUUAGCUGCAGUUCAAAUUACAAAAAAAAAACUUUUGAAUAAUAAGUAAAUUCCAUGUAAAUUUUGUGGAAACUUUUGAAAUUGUGUUAUUUUUUUACGCUCAUGAUACAGUCAUGUAUGCAUACAUAAAUGUAGCAUUAAUUAAAAAUUGAACUAUUAUUA